rnacentral:rRNA from 1 species
CAAUAUAAGUGAUGGCGACCGGCGCACGGGUGAGUAACACGUAUCCAACCUGCCGAUAACUCGGGGAUAGCCUUUCGAAAGAAAGAUUAAUACCCGAUGGUAUAAUAAAACCGCAUGGUUUAAUUAUUAAAGAAUUUCGGUUAUCGAUGGGGAUGCGUUCCAUUAGGCAGUUGGUGAGGUAACGGCUCACCAAACCUUCGAUGGAUAGGGGUUCUGAGGGGAAGGUCCCCCACAUUGGAACUGAGACACGGUCCAA